rnacentral:tRNA from 1 species
GCCGGAGUGGCACAGUUGGUAGCGCAACUCAUUCGUAAUGAGUAGGUCACCGGUUCAAAUCCGGUCUUCGGCU